UUUUCGGGUCGAGUAGAUAGAGUCGAGGAUCAUUACCACACCUAAAAAUCUUUCCACGUGAAUUGUUUUGCUGUAAACUUGGGCUUCGCCGUUGUUUCCUCGUAAAAAAAGGGAGCGCGGUUGGAGGCCAUCAGGGGUGCGUUCGUCGUGAGUUUUGUUAUUCGCGCGAGUGCGUCCUUUUGUCAACCCAUUUCUUUUGAAAACUGAUCAUACUGUGGGGACGAAAGUCUCUGCUUUUAACUAGAUAGCAACUUUCAGCAGUGGAUGUCUAGGCUCGCACAUCGAUGAAGAACGCUGCGAACUGCGAUACGUAAUGCGAAUUGCAGGAUUCAGUGAGUCAUCGAAAUUUUGAACGCAUAUUGCACUUUCGGGUUAUGCCUGGAAGUAUGUCUGUAUCAGUGUCCGUACACUAAACUUGCCUUUCUUGCGUCGUGUAGUCGUCGCUGGGAAUGCGCAGAUGUGAGGUUUGUCUUGCUUUCGUUCAUUUGAAUUUUUGGACAGGAGCAAGUCCCUUUAAAGUCGGACGUGUUUUCUCUCUGUAGUGUGCUGUGUCGGCGCUGGCGGCGUGUGAGACUCUUUGUCUGUUGACGAGUCUGGCGACCUUUGGCUCGUGCAUUGCGGGGUGUGCUCGAUUGGCGGUAUGUUAGGCUUCGGCUUUGACAAUGCAGCUUAUUGUGUGUGCUUCGUGGCGCGUGGCUGUAUGGGUGAACCGGAUGGUCUUCGGUCCUUUAUUGUGAGUUUUGCGCGCGUGUCUGUUGCUGGUUUGGCGUGCUGCGUUGGGGGACGGUCACCAUUUGGGAAUUUGUGCUUUUGUUUUGUGAUUAUUUUUUGUUGCAAAAUAGGCAUCUCAAUUGGACCUGAUAUCAGACAAGAUUGCCCAA
rnacentral:rRNA from 1 species